rnacentral:rRNA from 1 species
UACGUAGGGGGCAAGCGUUGUCCGGAAUCAUUGGGCGUAAAGGGCGCGUAGGUGGCCCGGUCAGUUCGUGGUGAAAGCGCGGGGGCUCAACCCUGCGUCGGCCAUGAAUACUGCCGCGGCUGGAGCACUGUAGAGGCAGGCGGAAUUCCGGGUGUAGCGGUGGAAUGCGUAGAGAUCCGGAAGAACACCGGUGGCGAAGGCGGCCUGCUGGGCAGUUGCUGACACUGAGGCGCGACAGCGUGGGGAGCAAACAGG